rnacentral:rRNA from 1 species
GAUGAACGCUGGCGGCGUGCCUAAUACAUGCAAGUCGAGCGAACAGACGAGGAGCUUGCUCCUCUGACGUUAGCGGCGGACGGGUGAGUAACACGUGGAUAACCUACCUAUAAGACUGGGAUAACUUCGGGAAACCGGAGCUAAUACCGGAUAAUAUAUUGAACCGCAUGGUUCAAUAGUGAAAGACGGUUUUGCUGUCACUUAUAGAUGGAUCCGCGCCGCAUUAGCUAGUUGGUAAGGUAACGGCUUACCAAGGCAACGAUGCGUAGCCGACCUGAGAGGGUGAUCGGACACACGGGAACUGAGACACGGUCCAGACUCCUACGGGAGGCAGCAGUAGGGAAUCUUCCGCAAGGGGCGAAAGCCUGACGGAGCAACGCCGCGUGAGUGAUGAAGGUCUUCGGAUCGUAAAACUCUGUUAUUAGGGAAGAACAAAUGUGUAAGUAACUAUGCACGUCUUGACGGUACCUAAUCAGAAAGCCACGGCUAACUACGUG